rnacentral:lncRNA from 1 species
CUGGCUCUCUCCAUACAGGUUCCAAGUCCUUGUGGGGGGAAGGAGGGUUACUGGCCUCGCUUGGGAGAGGUUCUGACCCCCCCCACCUCACACAGCUGUGACCGAGGAGGGAACAGGCUCAUUUGGACCAGAAGCUUAUCCCCAUUGACUGGACUAAGAAAUUCAAGUGACUUGUCCAGAGAAAAAGAGCUGUUAAAAGGUGGAACCUGGCCUGAGGACUCCAAACCGUCUCCUGCCUACCCCCAGGAAGGACACCCUCUGCAGCCAUAUUGGCCAAAUGUUGUUUCCUUGGAUACCUCAAAAUGCAUCAAGCAAUACUGGAAUAGAAAGUGACUGGGAAACUGCCUGCAGAACCAAAGACAUCAAAAUGUAGCUAUCAUAACUCAAGUUAGCUCUUACACUGACCCUUGUUACUGGCAGCAAUGGAGGCCUGUUCUUUAUAUGUAUCAACUCGUUGGAUUCUCACAACUUCCUCCUGAGGUAUUUGUCCCAUUUUAUGCACAGUAACCAUUCCAUGAAUAUUUGCAUAAAUCUGGUGAUUCUUUUUUUCUUUUGCCAUCAAUCACCUUCCCAACAUCAUGGUGAGGCCCUUCUCCCCUUCUAUCUCUCUGUCUUUCAUCACCUCCUCACCAUCUUCAUGGCCUAGGUCUGGCCUGCAUUACUGAGGUGGCCUCUGAAAUGGUAUGUCAUUCUCUACCCUGCAGUUGGC